GUCAUAUGCUUGUCUCAAAGAUUAAGCCAUGCAUGUCUGAGUACAGACCUUUAUUUAAGGUGAAACCGCGAAUGGCUCAUUAAAUCAGUCAUAAUUCCUUGGAUAGUGAAAAAACUUCCUCGGAUAACUGUGGAAAAUCCAGAGCUAAUACGUGCAUAAGAGCUCUGACCUUGGCGUGAGUUGAGGGAAGAGCGCAUUUAUUAGAUUCAAAACUGACCGGUGUAAUCUUUCGGGAUGCGCCGCUUGUCAAACUUGAUGACUCCGGAUAACUAAGCCGAGCGCUACGGUCUUUGUACCGGCGCCGUAUCUUUCAAGUGUCUGCCUUAUCAGCUUUCGAUUGUAGGUUAAACGCCUACAAUGGCUGUAACGGGUAACGGGGAAUCAGGGUUCGAUUCCGGAGAGGGAGCCUGAGAAACGGCUACCACAUCUAAGGAAGGCAGCAGGCACGCAAAUUACCCACUCCCAGUUCGGGGAGGUAGUGACGAAAAAUAACGAUGUGAGACUCUUCCGAGGCCUCACAAUCGGAAUGAGUCCAUUCUAAACAUUUGGACGAGGAUCCAUUGGAGGGCAAGUCUGGUGCCAGCAGCCGCGGUAAUUCCAGCUUCAAUAGCGUAUAUUAAAGUUGCUGCGGUUAAAAAGCUCGUAGUUGGAUCUCCUAGAUCCAAUUCAUGGGCGGGUCGCUCGUUGUACGCGCGUUCUAUGUCAGUUCCUCGGGGUUGUUCCUUCGAGCUUCUCUUACUCUUCUACUGCUUGAGUGUUACUACUCCUUCAUGGUGUGGUGGUGCUCUUGUGGUGGUUGUUGUUUUGAGAAUGUCUUUGUGAGGUUUCUUUCUCCCGAUGGGUACGGUAGAGCGUAGUCUCUGAGUAUAGCCCGUCUGUGUUUGGUACAAUUAAAAUUUUGUCAGCUCACUCGGAGUGCUCUUUACCGAGUGUUCCAGGGUGGCUGACACGUUCACUUUGAAAAAAUUAGAGUGCUUAAAGCGGGCCGAAAUGUCGCCUGAAUGUUGUUGCAUGGAAUGAAGGAACAGGACCUCGGUUCUGUUCUUUUCAGUCGGUUUUAAUGAACCGAGGUAAUGAUUAAAAGGAACAGACGGUGGCAUUAGUAUUGAGUCGCUAGAGGUGAAAUUCUUGGACCGACUCAAGACUGACUACUGCGAAAGCAUUUGCCAAGAAUGUUUUCAUUAAUCAAGAACGAAAGUUAGAGGAUCGAAGGCGAUCAGAUACCGCCCUAGUUCUAACCCUAAACUAUGCUAACUAGCGAUCCGUCGGAGUCAUUCCCACGACCCGACGGGAAGCCCCAGGGAAACCAAAGUAUUUGAGUUCCGGGGGAAGUAUGGUUGCAAAUCUGAAACUUAAAGGAAUUGACGGAAGGUCCCCACCAGGAGUGGAGCCGCGGCUUAAUUUGACUCAACACGGGAAACCUCACCAGGCCCGGACAUUAGAAGGAUUGACAGAUUGAGAGCUCUUUCUCGAUUAAAUGGGUGGUGGUGCAUGGCCGUUCUUAGUUGGUGGAGUGAUCUGUCUGGUUGAUUCCGAUAACGAACGAGACUCUACCCUACUAACUAGUCGGCGGAUCGUAACCCUGAGAUGGGUGAGACUGAAGCGUGAGUAACUGAAGGUUUCGGGGAGUAGUAUCAAUUUCGCUGGGUUCUCUAUAGAGCUUUUGUGGGGUUUACUCAGUCUCGUCAAACUGAAUGCUUAUCGUGAAAGUUUCGCUUACUGGGGGCGUCCGUCGCAAUGUAUCUUCUUAGAGGGAUCAGCGGCGUCUAGCCGCACGAGAAAGAGCAAUAACAGGUCUGUGAUGCCCUUAGAUGUUCUGGGCCGCACGCGCGCUACAAUGUAGGGCUUAGCGUGCCUUCCCCUCUCCGAAAGGAGCGGGUAACCCCAUGAAACCCCUACCCGAUUGGGAUUGGGGCUUGUAAAUAUUUCCCAUAAACGAGGAAUUCCCAGUAAGCGCGAGUCACUAGCUCGCGCUGAUUAAGUCCCUGACCUUUGUACACACCGCCCGUCGCUACUACCGAUUGAAUGAUUCAGUGAGGGCAUCGGACUGGCGCCUUCGGUUGAAACAUAUCCUAGGCUGACGGAAAGAUGUCCGAACUUGAUCAUUUAGAGGAAGUAAAAGUCGUAACAAGGUUUCCGUAGUGAACCUGCGGAAGGA
rnacentral:rRNA from 1 species